rnacentral:misc_RNA from 1 species
AAAGUCGUAACAAGGUUUCCGUAGGUGAACCUGCGGAAGGAUCAUUACCGUGCCCGGGCGGCCGGCCCCAAAAAGGUCGGCCGCCCACCCGGCCACCCGUGUUUAUUUUACCUGUUGCUUCGGCGGGCCUGCGGGCCUCGCUCGCUGCCGGGGGACCUGGUCCCCGGGCUCGUGCCCGCCGGAGACACCUGAAACUCUGUUUAAAUUAGCGUCUGAGUGAUUAUUUAAUCAAUUAAAACUUUCAACAACGGAUCUCUUGGUUCCC